rnacentral:rRNA from 1 species
CCUACGGGAGGCAGCAGUGAGGAAUAUUGGUCAAUGGGCUAAGGCCUGAACCAGCCAAGUCGCGUGAGGGAAGACGGUCCUAUGGAUUGUAAACCUCUUUUGUCGGGGAGCAACGAGGCCACGUGUGGCCGAAGUGAGAGUACCCGAAGAAAAAGCAUCGGCUAACUCCGUGCCAGCAGCCGCGGUAAUACGGAGGAUGCGAGCGUUAUCCGGAUUUAUUGGGUUUAAAGGGUGCGUAGGCGGAACAUUAAGUCAGCGGUAAAAUCGAGGGGCUCAACCCCUUUAAGCCGUUGAAACUGGUGAUCUUGAGUGGGCGAGAGGUAUGCGGAAUGCGUGGUGUAGCGGUGAAAUGCAUAGAUAUCACGCAGAACUCCGAUUGCGAAGGCAGCUUACUAAGCCAUAACUGACACUGAAGCACGAAAGCGUGGGGAUCAAACAGGAUUAGAUACCCGAGUAGUC